AAAACUUUCAACAACGGAUCUCUUGGUUCUGGCAUCGAUGAAGAACGCAGCGAAAUGCGAUAAGUAGUGUGAAUUGCAGAAUUCAGUGAAUCAUCGAAUCUUUGAACGCACAUUGCGCCCCUUGGUAUUCCAUGGGGCAUGCCUGUUCGAGCGUCAUUU
rnacentral:rRNA from 2 species